GUAGGUGGCAAGCGUUGUCCGGAAUUAUUGGGCGUAAAGCGCGCGCAGGCGGUUCUUUAAGUCUGAUGUAGAAACGCCCGACGGCUACAACCGUGGGAGGGUCAUUAGGAAACUGGAGAACUUGAGUACAGAAGAGGAAGGCGGAAUUCCACGUGUAGCGGUAGAAAUGCGUAGAGAUGUGGAGGAACACCAGUGGCGAAGGCGGCUUUCGUGGUCUGUAACUGACGCUGAGGCGCGAAAGCGUGGGGAGCAAACAGGAUUAGACUACCCGUGGUAGUCCACGCCGUAAACGAUGAGUGCUAAGCGUUAGGGGGGUUUCCCGCCCCCCGUUAGUGCUGCAGCUAACGCAUUAAGCACUCCGCCUGGGAGUACGGCCGCAAGGCUG
rnacentral:rRNA from 1 species